GGGCCCGCACAAGCGGAGGAACAUGUGGUUUAAUUCGAUGAUACGCGAGGAACCUUACCCGGGCUUGAAUUGCAGAGCGAGGGAGGGGAGACCCUUCCGUCCUUCGGGAGUUCUGUGAAGGUGCUGCAUGGUUGUCGUCAGCUCGUGCCGUGAGGUGUCGGCUCAAGUGCCAUAACGAGCGCAACCCCUGUCCCCGGUUGCCAUCAGGUAAGGCUGGGCACUCCGGGGAGACUGCCGCCGCAAGGUGUGAGGAAGGCGGGGAUGACGUCAAAUCAGCACGGCCCUUACGUCCGGGGCUACACACGUGUUACAAUGGCCGGUACAGCGCGCCGGCGGCCCGCAAGGUCCGCCCAAUCGUGAAAGCCGGCCUCAGUACGGACUGGGGUCUGCAACCCGACCCCACGAAGCUGGAUUCGCUAGUAAUCGCGCAUCAGCCAUGGCGCGGUGAAUACGUUCCCGGGCCUU
rnacentral:rRNA from 1 species